AUGGGGUCAGUUACGGACACCCUUCCUUGUGGCUGCACAGCGUGAGGGGAUUUUUGUUUUCUUUCAGGCUUGAAAGCUGAAGUGUUAUACUUCAACAAUUUGGGGGCUCGUUCCGGGAUUGGAAAGAGGAGAAGGAAUUCGAUCUUGUCCAGACAACCUACGCGAGAUUCACAGGUUCCGAGCCGGCUCAUGAUAAAGUUGCCAAGAUGCGUUGUUGACCUGGGGGAUGCUGUUGCCUGGGUAAAUGCCAACAUGGGCCUCUUCUGAGACUGGGUACAAGUCCUCAGCCCUGAAUGAUGAGGAAAUACAGGGUGCUCUGCAGAUGCUCAGAGAGGCUUCAACUCUAGAGGACGAAGAAGAAUCUCUCUCCCCAUUCAUGUUUUUGUUUAAUCAUUUUGAAGACACUGAACCAUUCAUGGAGGAAAUAGACAAAAGAGGACUUAGUGAUAAUUUUUAGCUUCUCUGUUAUUAUUUAUGUUGAUGAGGAUACCUAUUAGCUGUCUUUAAACCAUCAUCUAAUGCUGUGUUUCACAAAACAACAAUUACAAGAUCCAGAAAACACAAUAUAGUUUGAUGAGACAAGAAACAUCAGUUAUUUAGCAAGACUAAACCAGACAGUGUUUUGGAAGUGUUCACCUGGCCAUACAACAUGAUAGGAUGAAUCCAAAGCCUACAGAAUCUGGGCAGAGCUGAAUACACAGUACAUAAAGAAACAGUUUCGUUUUGACAGUGUUGGAAUGUAAUGUUUUGAAUAUUUAAUGGGGUAAUUAAAUG
ensembl:lncRNA